rnacentral:rRNA from 1 species
UACGUAGGGGGCAAGCGUUGUCCGGAGUUACUGGGCGUAAAGCGCCCGCAGGCGGUCGUCCCAGUUCAGGGUGACAGCUGCCGGCUCAACCGGCAGAGGACCUUGAAGACGCGACGACUUGAGGGCCAGAGAGGGACAUGGAACUCCGGGUGGAGUGGUGAAAUGCGUAGAGAUCCGGAAGAACACCAAAGGCGAAGGCAGUGUCCUGGCUGGCACCUGACGCUCGGGGGCGAAAGCGAGGGGAG